rnacentral:rRNA from 1 species
GACGAACGCUGGCGGCGUGCCUAAUACAUGCAAGUCGAGCGGACCAAAGGGAGCUUGCUCCUGGAGGUCAGCGGCGAACGGGUGAGUAACACGUGGGCAACCUGCCUGUAAGACUGGGAUAACAUCGAGAAAUCGGUGCUAAUACCGGAUAAUAAAAAGAACUGCAUGGUUCUUUUUUGAAAGAUGGUUUCGGCUAUCACUUACAGAUGGGCCCGCGGCGCAUUAGCUAGUUGGUGAGGUAACGGCUCACCAAGGCAACGAUGCGUAGCCGACCUGAGAGGGUGAUCGGCCACACUGGGACUGAGACAGGCCCAGACUCCUACGGGAGCAGCAGUAGGGAAUCUUCCGCAAAUGGACGAAAGUCUGACGGAGCGACGCCGCGUGAGUGAUGAAGGUUUUCGGAUCGUAAAACUCUGUUGUUAGGGAAGAACAAGUGCCGUUCGAAAGGGCGGCACCUUGACGGUACCUAACGAGAAAGCCACGGCUAACUACGUGCCAGCAGCCGACGG